GAUGAACGCUGGCGGCGUGCCUAAUACAUGCAAGUCGAGCGAACGGACGAGAAGCUUGCUUCUCUGAUGUUAGCGGCGGACGGGUGAGUAACACGUGGAUAACCUACCUAUAAGACUGGGAUAACUUCGGGAAACCGGAGCUAAUACCGGAUGAUAUUUUGAACCGCAUGGUUCAAAAGUGAAAGACGGUCUUGCUGUCACUUAUAGAUGGAUCCGCGCUGCAUUAGCUAGUUGGUAAGGUAACGGCUUACCAAGGUAACGAUGCAUAGCCGACCUGAGAGGGUGAUCGGCCACACUGGAACUGAGACACGGUCCAGACUCCUACGGGAGGCAGCAGUAGGGAAUCUUCCGCAAUGGGCGAAAGCCUGACGGAGCAACGCCGCGUGAGUGAUGAAGGUCUUCGGAUCGUAAAACUCUGUUAUUAGGGAAGAACAUAUGUGUAAGUAACUGUGCACAUCUUGACGGUACCUAAUCAGAAAGCCACGGCUAACUACGUG
rnacentral:rRNA from 1 species